rnacentral:pre_miRNA from 1 species
UUACUACUCCCUCCGUCCGGAAAUACUUGUCAUUGAAAUGGAUGUAUCUAGAUGUAUUUUAGUUCUAGAUACAUCCAUUUUCAUCCAUUUUGAUGACAAGUAAUUCCGGACGGAGGGAGUACUAC